AUUCUGCCCAUGUGGGGAAGGAUGAGAAGCUUCGACCAAGGUUCGACUCGAGCGCCAGCGAGAGAGCGUUGCCGC
rnacentral:sRNA from 1 species